rnacentral:rRNA from 1 species
AGAUCCUGAAACCGUGUGCUUACAAAAAGUAGGAGCCCGCAAGGGUGACUGCGUACCUUUUGUAUAAUGGGUCAGCGACUUACAUUCAGUGGCAAGGUUAACCGAAUAGGGAAGCCGUAGAGAAAUCGAGUCCGAAUAGGGCGAAUUAGUCGCUGGGUGUAGACCCGAAACCAAGUGAUCUAUCCAUGGCCAGGAUGAAGGUGCCGUAACAGGUACUGGGGGUCCGAACCGACUAGUGUUGCAAAACUAGCGGAUGAGCUGUGGAUAGGGGUGAAAGGCCAAACAAACUUGGAAAUAGCUGGUUCUCUCCGAAAACUAUUUAGGUAGUGCCUCAAGUAUUACCGUUGGGGGUAGAGCACUGUUUUGGCUAGGGGGUCAUGGCGACUUACCAAACCAAUGCAAACUCCGAAUACCGACGAGUACAGCUUGGGAGACAGAGCACCGGGUGCUAACGUCCGGACUCAAGAGGGAAACAACCCAGACCGCCAGCUAAGGUCCCUAAAAUUGGCUAAGUGGGAAACGAAGUGGGAAGGCUAAAACAGUCAGGAUGUUGGCUUAGAAGCAGCCAUCAUUUAAAGAAAGCGUAAUAGCUCACUGAUCGAGUCGUCCUGCGCGGAAGAUGUAACGGGGCUCAAGCCAGUUACCGAAGCUGCGGAUGUGCAAUUUAUUGCACGUGGUAGGAGAGCGUUCUGUAAGCCUGUGAAGGUGCGUUGUAAAGCGUGCUGGAGGUAUCAGAAGUGCGAAUGCUGACAUGAGUAGCGUUAAAGGGGGUGAAAAGCCCCCUCGCCGUAAGCGCAAGGUUUUCUACGCAACGUUCAUCGACGUAGAGUGAGUCGGCCCCUAAGGCGAGGCAGAGAUGCGUAGUUGAUGGGAAACAGGUCAAUAUUCCUGUACCGAUGUGUAGUGCGAUGUGGGGACGGAGAAGGUUAGCUCAGCCAACUGUUGGAUAUGUUGGUUCAAGCCUGUAGUCGUGCCUGGUAGGUAAAUCCGCCGGGCUUAGAUGAGGGGUGAUAACGAGGCUGCUUGCAGCCGAAGUGAGUGAUACCCUGCUUCCAGGAAAAGCCACUAAGCUUCAGCUACACACGACCGUACCGCAAACCGACACUGGUGCGCGAGAUGAGUAUUCUAAGGCGCUUGAGAGAACUCUGGAGAAGGAACUCGGCAAAUUGACACCGUAACUUCGGAAGAAGGUGUACCUUUAGUAGGUGAAGGGAUUUACUCCUGGAGCCCAAUGAGGUUGCAAAAAAUCGGUGGCUGCGACUGUUUAUUAAAAACACAGCACUCUGCAAACACGAAAGUGGACGUAUAGGGUGUGACGCCUGCCCGGUGCUGGAAGAUUAAAUGAUGGGGUGAGAGCUCUUGAUUGAAGUCCCAGUAAACGGCGGCCGUAACAAUAACGGUCCUAAGGUAGCGAAAUUCCUUGUCGGGUAAGUUCCGACCUGCACGAAUGGCGUAACGAUGGCCACACUGUCUCCUCCAGAGACUCAGCGAAGUUGAAAUGUUUGUGAUGAUGCAAUCUCCCCGCGGAAAGACGGAAAGACCCCAUGAACCUUUACUGUAGCUUUGUAUUGGACUUUGAACAGAUCUGUGUAGGAUAGGUGGGAGGCUCUGAAGCAGGGUCGCUAGAUUUU